rnacentral:lncRNA from 1 species
UGGAAAUUAUCACGUGUGGUUAAGACCAUAAGAAUUAUUGUGCACUAAAUUUAAAAAGUGGUCAAUGGGAUGAAUUUUUAGUCGUGUGAAUAGUCGUUUACUAUGUUUUUCAGUGGUCUGAAUCCAAAUUUAGGGUCAGUUUAGACUAAUUCUAAAGUUAAAAUAACGUGGUACAUAAAGUGGUGAUCGGUACGGUAGGGAUUUUGAGUAUGUUUGGUAGCAAUCGACGGUGAAAACUUGUCCAAUCG